rnacentral:rRNA from 1 species
AUACGGAGGAUCCGAGCGUUAUCCGGAUUUAUUGGGUUUAAAGGGUGCGCAGGCGGCCAUUUAAGUCAGCGGUUAAAUCGUGGGGCUCAACCCCAUUCUGCCGUUGAUACUGGGUGGCUUGAUUGCGGUCGAGGUUGGCGGAAUUCGUUGUGUAGCGGUGAAAUGCAUAGAUAUGACGAAGAACACCGAUUGCGGAGGCAGCUGACCAGACCGCAAAUGACGCUCAUGCACGAAAGUGCGGGGAUCGAACAGGAUUAGAUACCCUGGUAGUCCGCAUAGUAAACGAUGAAUACUUGUUUUCGGCGAUAUAAUGUCGGAGGCAAAGCGAAAGCGAUAAGUAUUCCACCUGGGGAGUACGCCGGCAACGGUGAAACUCAAAGGAAUUGACGGGG